rnacentral:rRNA from 1 species
AGCGAACGCUGGCGGUAGGCCUAACACAUGCAAGUCGAACGGCAGCACAGUAAGAGCUUGCUCUUACGGGUGGCGAGUGGCGGACGGGUGAGGAAUACAUCGGAAUCUACUUUUUCGUGGGGGUUAACGUAGGGAAACUUACGCUAAUACCGCAUACGACCUACGGGUGAAAGCAGGGGAUCUUCGGACCUUGCGCGAUUGAAUGAGCCGAUGUCGGAUUAGCUAGUUGGCGGGGUAAAGGCCCACCAAGGCGACGAUCCGUAGCUGGUCUGAGAGGAUGAUCAGCCACACUGGAACUGAGACACGGUCCAGACUCCUACGGGAGGCAGCAGUGGGGAAUAUUGGACAAUGGGCGCAAGCCUGAUCCAGCCAUACCGCGUGGGUGAAGAAGGCCUUCGGGUUGUAAAGCCCUUUUGUUGGGAAAGAAAAGCAGCAGGUUAAUACCCCGCUGUUCUGACGGUACCCAAAGAAUAAGCACCGGCUAACUUCGUG